CCUACGGGGGGCAGCAGUAAGGAAUAUUGGACAAUGGCCGCAAGGCUGAUCCAGCCAUGCCGCGUGCAGGAUGACAGAGCUCUGCUCCGUAAACUGCUUUUACUUGGGAAAAAACCCCUGCUUUCCAGCGGGGCUGAUUGUACCGAGAGAAUAAGGGACGGCUAACUUCGUGCCAGCAGCCGCGGUAAUACGAAGGUCCCAAGCGUUAUCCGGAUUUAUUGGGUUUAAAGGGUGCGUAGGCGGCUUAUUAAGUCAGUGGUGAAAGCUCCAUGCUUAACAUGGAAAUUGCCAUUGAUACUGAUGAGCUUGAGUAUAUUUGAAGUGGGCGGAAUGUGUCGUGUAGCGGUGAAAUGCUUAGAUAUGACACAGAACACCGAUUGCGUAGGCAGCUCACUAAACUAUAACUGACGCUGAGGCACGAAAGCAUGGGGAUCAAACAGGAUUAGAUACCCCUGUAGUC
rnacentral:rRNA from 1 species